rnacentral:rRNA from 1 species
GACGCACUCUCAGUAGUUUGUAUCCGUGGCUACGGGAUGAACGCUAGCGAUAGGCUUAACACAUGCAAGUCGAGGGGUAACAUGGGAGUAGCUUGCUACUUCUGAUGACGACCGGCGGAUGGGUGAGUAACGCGUAUGCAACUUGCCUCUUAGUGGGGAAUAACCCGGAGAAAUCCGGACUAAUACCGCAUACACUUAGUUAUCCGUAUGGAUGAUUAGGGAAAGAUUUAUUGCUAAGAGAUAGGCAUGCGUUCCAUUAGUUAGUUGGUGAGGUAACGGCUCACCAAGGCAUCGAUGGAUAGGGGAGCUGAGAGGCUUAUCCCCCACAUUGGGACUGAGACACGGCCCAA